GAUGAACGCUAGCGGCAGGCUUAACACAUGCAAGUCGAGGGGUAACAGAGAUAGCUUGCUAUUUGCUGACGACCGGCGCACGGGUGCGUAACGCGUAUACAAUCUACCUUUUGCUGAAGGAUAGCCCAGAGAAAUUUGGAUUAAUACUUCAUAGUAUGUUAGUAUGGCCUCAUACAAACAUUAAAGGUUACGGCAAAAGAUGAGUAUGCGUUCUAUUAGCUAGAUGGUGUGGUAACGGCAUACCAUGGCGACGAUAGAUAGGGGCCCUGAGAGGGGGAUCCCCCACACUGGUACUGAGACACGGACCAG
rnacentral:rRNA from 1 species